UGACCAGAGCCGCACAUUAUUUAUUGCAGAC
rnacentral:piRNA from 1 species